rnacentral:rRNA from 1 species
AUUGAACGCUGGCGGCAUGCCUAACACAUGCAAGUCGAACGGCAGCACAGGUAGCAAUACCGGGUGGCGAGUGGCGGACGGGUGAGUAAUGCAUCGGGAUCUACCCAGACGUGGGGGAUAACCUCGGGAAACCGGGACUAAUACCGCAUACGUCCUACGGGAGAAAGCGGGGGCUCUUCGGACCUCGCGCGGCUGGACGAACCGAUGUGCGAUUAGCUAGUUGGGGGGGUAAUGGCCCACCAAGGCGACGAUCGCUAGCUGGUCUGAGAGGAUGAUCAGCCACACUGGGACUGAGACACGGCCCAGACUCCUACGGGAGGCAGCAGUGGGGAAUAUUGGACAAUGGGCGCAAGCCUGAUCCAGCAAUGCCGCGUGUGUGAAGAAGGCCUUCGGGUUGUAAAGCACUUUUAUCAGGAGCGAAAUGCCAUGGGCUAAUACCCCGUGGAGCUGACGGUACCUGAGGAAUAAGCACCGGCUAACUUCGU